UCAGUUUGAUCAUUGCUCAGAUUGAACGCUGGCGGCAGGCCUAACACAUGCAAGUCGAACGGUAACAGCAGAGCUUGCUCUGGCUGACGAGUGGCGGACGGGGAGUAACGCGCCGUAGGAAUCUACCCAGUAGUGGGGGACAACUUGGGGAAACUCAAGCUAAUACCGCAUACGCCCUACGGGGGAAAGCGGGGGACCUUCGGGCCUCGUGCUAUUGGAUGAGCCUGCGUUAGAUUAGCUAGUUGGUAGGGUAAAGGCCUACCAAGGCGACGAUCUAUAGCUGGUCUGAGAGGAUGAUCAGCCACACUGGAACUGAGACACGGUCCAGACUCCUACGGGAGGCAGCAGUGGGGAAUAUUGCACAAUGGGCGCAAGCCUGAUGCAGCCACGCCGCGUGUGUGAAGAAGGCUCUAGGGUUGUAACGCACUGUAAGCAGGGAGGACGGUAAGUUAGUUAAUAUCUGACUGGAGUGACGUUACCUGCAGAAUAAGCACCGGCUAACUCCGUGCCAGCAGCCGCGGUAAUACGGAGGGUGCAAGCGUUAAUCGGAAUUACUGGGCGUAAAGCGCGCGUAGGCGGUUGUUUAAGUCGGAUGUGAAAGCCCUGGGCUCAACCCAGGAAGUGCAUUGGAAACUGGCCAACUAGAGUAUGGUAGAGGUGAGUGGAAUUUCCUGUGUAGCGGUGAAAUGCGUAGAUAUAGGAAGGAACACCAGUGGCGAAGGCGACUCACUGGACCAAUACUGACACUGAGGUGCGAAAGCGUGGGAGCAAACAGGAUUAGAUACCCUGGUAGUCCACGCCGUAAACGAUGUCUACUAGCCGUUGGGAGACUUGAUCUCUUAGUGGCGCAGCUAACGCAAUAAGUAGACCGCCUGGGGAGUACGGCCGCAAGGUUAAAACUCAAAUGAAUUGACGGGGGCCCGCACAAGCGGUGGAGCAUGUGGUUUAAUUCGAUGCAACGCGAAGAACCUUACCUGGUCUUGACAUCCUACGAACUUACUAGAGAUAGUUUGGUGCCUUCGGGAACGUAGUGACAGGUGCUGCAUGGCUGUCGUCAGCUCGUGUUGUGAAAUGUUGGGUUAAGUCCCGUAACGAGCGCAACCCUUAUCCUUAUUUGCCAGCCUAAUGGUGGGAACUCUAGGGAGACUGCCGGUGAUAAACCGGAGGAAGGUGGGGAUGACGUUAAGUCAUUAUGGCCCUUAUGAGUAGGGCUACACACGUGCUACAAUGGUCGGUACAGAGGGUUGCCAAGCCGUGAGGUGGAGCUAAUCCCAGAAAGCCGGUCGUAGUCCGGAUUGGAGUCUGUAAUUCGACUCCAUGAAGUCGGAAUCGCUAGUAAUCGCGAAUUAGCAUGUCGCGGUGAAUACGUUCCCGGGCCUUGUACACACCGCCCGUCACACCAUGGGAGUGGAUUGCUCCAGAAGUAGGUUGCCUAACCUUCGGGAGGGCGCUUACCACGGUGUGCUUCAUGACUGGGGUGAAGUAGGAACAAGGUA
rnacentral:rRNA from 1 species